rnacentral:rRNA from 1 species
UACGUAGGGCGCAAGCGUUAUCCGGAAUUAUUGGGCGUAAAGAGCUCGUAGGCGGUUUGUCGCGUCUGCCGUGAAAGUCCGGGGCUCGACUCCGGAUCUGCGGUGGGUACGGGCAGACUAGAGUGAUGUAGGGGAGACUGGAAUUCCUGGUGUAGCGGUGAAAUGCGCAGAUAUCAGGAGGAACACCGAUGGCGAAGGCAGGUCUCUGGACAUUAACUGACGCUGAGGAGCGAAAGCAUGGGGAGCGAACAGG